UUGGCGGAGGCCAACUCGCUCGGAUGAGUCAGUGAGAGUGGUUCUGGGUUCUGGGAGUGCUCAGAUGCUCAGAGCACUGCAAGGAAAGUGCUGCACUGUGCUCCGAGGCGAAGAUAAAUUGUAAGACUUUAUGCUGACUUUUGGCGGAGAGGAACCCAAAAGACUGCCUACAAAAACAAGGCAGGGCAAGACUCCAGAAAUCAUUCAGUGACUGAACGAAAGAAGGCAAACGGAAAGAUUGAAGAUACUUAUUGGUUACAAUCAAUCACUUGAACUGAACUGAAAGACACUGUUUUCCAUAUCUGGUCUGCCAGAUGAGAGGUGAGAGAAUCAUUUAACGCCUCGUGGUAUUGUUUAAUCGCAGGAACCAAUGAACUAUGUGUAAAGAUUCAAAGCCUUUCAUCUAAGGCCGCGUUCAUUCAGGCGACAUCUAGCCUGGGUGUUUCUGAUGAUGGACCAAGUGGAUCGCGUUGAAGUUCUGUCCCAAGCAACUGUCCCGACAACCCCAAAACCAAGGGCUAACCAUAGUAAGUGAACAGCACUUGGAAUAUGUAGCCCACAUUGAAUAAAAGAGACAGAGCCAAAGCCAGUCCCAUUCAAUCCCCAAGUUCAAUGUUACCUGUCACAGGCAGCGGACAAACUAAUAACGAUUCGAUAAUCGCUGCUGAGAAAGUGAGUGGGAAAUGAGCAUUCGUAGAAAAUCAAUCGCAUUGAAAAUGAAACCGAAAUUGAAACUGAAACUGAAGCUAAACAGGGCUGCGGUUGAUGGGCUUCGACAGAGAAGUGUCCUGUCAUGCCAUGGCUUUGAAGCUCCUCCUGAUGAUGAUGAUGACUAAGUCCAAAUGGAGCUGUCCAUCUACCAAGGACUCGAAUUCUUUUCCUGAGUGAAAAACUCUUGGUUGUAAUCUGUGGAAAUUAGCAUUUCAAUCAAAUCUUCUUUUA